AUAAUACUCCCUCCGUUCGGAAUUACUUGUCUUGAAAAUGGAUGUAUCUAGACGUAUUUUAGUUCUAGAUACAUCCAUUUCCAAGACAAGUAAUUCCGAACGGAGGGAGUAUAAG
rnacentral:pre_miRNA from 1 species